rnacentral:lncRNA from 1 species
CCGUGCCCCUGCUCGCGCUGCAGCCCGUGGAAGGGUUCCGUCCAGCGUAUCCUUCAGAUCUUGCUGUAGGCCUCUGGUGUCUGUGCGCGCGCGGCAGGGGCGGCGGCGGCGACGGCCGGAGGUGUACGGUCAGCGGGUUGCGGAGGAUCGUGCGGGUCGCAAAGGGAAGCCGAGUGCUCCUGCGGCUCCCAGACUGCAACCAGGUGUAAAUCCAAACCGCUUCCAACUCAAGGCAAGUAACAGCCCACGGUGUUCUGGCAGGAAAACAUCAGCUAAGAAAGGAAACUGGGUCCUAUGGCUUGGACUUUCCAACUCUGACAGACCGGCAGGACAGAAACAACUGGUUCAGGAGCCCUUGCCAGCCUCUAGAGAAAUCCCAGAACACUCAGCCCUGAUGACACAUUAAUACCCUGCACAUAUUGGAGACUGCUGACCACGCAUACUCACCAAGCCACAGACUUGUCUUCCACAAGCACGUUCUUACCUCAGCCACAAAGUGCCCAAGCCACAUGUACUAAAGGUUGAAAUCAGAGACAUGUACAGGGUAUUAAACAGAUACCAAGGGGAACAGUUAACUUGAAUAUAGCUUGAAUAGAAAGUCAAAAUCAGCAACAAGUCUACAAUCCAGUGCUGAUAUCAGAUACAAGCUUCAAGGACAACUUUCUGUGUAUGUUUUUUUUUUUUUUUUUGAGACGUAGUCUCGCCCUGUUGCCCAGGCUGGAGUGCAGUGGUGCAAUCUCGGCUCACCACAACCUCUGCCUCCCAGGUUCAAGUGAUUCUCCUGCCUCAGCCUCCCCAGUAGCUGGGAUUAUAGGCGAAUGCCACCAUGCCUGGCUAAUUUUUGUAUUUUUAGUAGAGACGGGGUUUCAGCAUGUUGGCCAGGCCGGUCUCAAACUCCUGACCUUGUGAUCCACCCGUCUCGGCCUCCCAAAGUGCUGGGAUUAUAGGCGUGAGCCACCACUUCUGGCCACAAAUUUCUUUUUGAAGGCUUAUUCCAGUUUUGUGAGGCUAGCAUGAGGUGUAUGCAUUUGCCAGGGGCAAAUUUAUACUGCUGAAUUAACCCAUGCAACAAAUGCUGCACAUCUGCUCGCAGUCCAUUUAGAGGCAUUUGCGGUAGACAAUGGAGGGGCCAGACUCAUCAUACAUACCUGAUGGCUAACCCACAUGCUUGCAGUCCAUUUAGAGGCAUUUGCAGUGGAUGAUGGAGGGGCCACAUACCUAAUUGCUAAUCCACAUCUGCUGGAAGGUGGACAGUGAGGCCAGGAUGGAACCACCAAUCCACACCGAGUACUUGUGCUCUGGGGGCAUGAUGAACUUGAUCUUCAUGGUGCUGGAUGCCAGCGUGGUGAUGCCAGGGCACAUGGUGGUGCUGCUGGACAGCACUGUGUUGGCGUACAGGUCUUUGCGGAUGUCCACGUCACACUUCAUGAUGGAGUUGAAGGUGGUCUUGUGGAUGCCGCAGGAUUCCAUGCCCAAGAAGGAAGGCUGGAACAGCACCUGCAGACACCAGAACCACUUGUUGCCGAUGGUGAUGACCUGACCUGGCCAUCAGGCAGCUCAUAGCUCUUCUCCAGGGAGGAGGAGGAUGUGGCAGUGGCCAUCUCCUGCUCGAAGUCCAGGGCGAUGUAGCACACCUUCUCGUUGAUGUCGCGCACAAUCUCCUGCUUGGCCGUGAUGGUGAAGCUUGGUGAGGAUCUUCAUGAGGUAGUUGGUCAGGUCCUGGCCAGCCAGGUCCAGACGCAGGAUGGCGUGGUGGGAGGGCAUGGCCCUCGUAGAUGGGUACCAUGUAGGUGGCCCUGUCUCCAGAGUCCAUGACAGUGCCAGUGAUGCGCCCAGAGGCUUAGAGGGACAACACGGCCUGGAUGGCCACAUACAUGGCUGGGGUGUUG